AGUGAACGCUGGCGGUAGGCCUAACACAUGCGAGUUGAACGGCAGCACAGUAAGAGCUUGCUCUUACGGGUGGCGAGUGGCGGACGGGUGAGGAAUACAUCGGAAUCUACUUUUUCGUGGGGGAUAACGUAGGGAAACUUACGCUAAUACCGCAUACGACCUACGGGUGAAAGUAGGGGAUCUUCGGACCCUGCGCGAUUGAAUGAGCCGAUGUCGGAUUGGCUAGUAGGCGGGGUAAAGGCCCACCACGGCGACGACCCGUAGCUGGUCUGACGGGAUGAUCAGCCACACUGGAACUUGAACACGGUCCAGACUACUACGAGAGGCAACGAUUGAGAAUAUUGUGCAAUGGGCGCAAGCCUGAUCCGACCGUACCGCGUGAGUGAAGAAAGCCUUCGGGUUGUAGAGCCCUUUUGUUGGGAAAGAAAAGCAGCAGGUUAAUAACCCGCUGUUCUGACGGUACCCAAAGAAUGAGCACCGGCUAACUUCGUG
rnacentral:rRNA from 1 species